UGUGGUUGCGCGAUCUUAAACUUCUGCUGGUUUUACCUACGGUGCAGUGAUUUUGUGCUUGAAAUAUUUAACUAUGCCUCCUAAGCGUCCGAUGCCAUGUCCUGGGCCGUCAGCCGAGCGGCAGAGAACCGCUUUAACAAUUAUAAACAGCGUGGCAUCAGCUGAAAGGUAACACAGCUCUGGGACGCUUCUGCCGGGAACAGAAUCUUGCCUUUAAAGUUCUUUUGUUGCUUGACGAUGCGCCAGCCCAUCCUAAACAUUUGAACAGCAUUCAUCCUAACAUAACAGUGCGUUUCCUGCUGCCUAACACAACAUCGCUGAUUCAACCACUCGACCAAGGUGUGAUCCACAUUCAAGGCGUAUUUUUUUACGGCAAACUAUCCCUCAGAUGCUGCAAGCUACAGACGAUUUUGAAAAUCCCAGGAGUUUACCAAUGGUGGAAGUCGGAACACUUGGCACAAAUGGCGACGGACGUGGGCCCAAAUUUAAAACGGAGUCAGCAUUUCAGUCGUUCCCUGCCGUCAACCCUUCUUCCCUACAAGCAAAUUUAUGCUGAAAAACAAAAUGCUGCCAAGCAAACAACCCUCACCACUUUCUUCAAACCCGUGUCAUCUUCUGCUGCUGGCAGUUCUAAGAGUUCUGUGAGUCUUCCUUCACCCCUUGCUGUGCUUGAUAUGAUCCUGACGACCACAACCAUCCACCUUAUCCAUGUAAAGCUGCCCGACACCACAACAACCACUCAUCUCCCGGAGUGAACACACCUGCCACUGUUGGCAUACACAGGAAGUCCAAGAAAUACUGCCGAAUUAAUGAAAGACAGCACCCAACAGGACUGACAAAAAACAGUGUGCAAAAGGAAACAAACUAUGCAAACACAAAAUAAAUAAAUAAACAAAAAAACAGACAAUGAAAAUCGAGAAAAAGAGUCCUUGAAAGUGAGCCCAUAUGUUGUGGGAACUCUUCAGUGAUGGGAUACUUCGAUAGCUUGGUCAUCCUGCUUUUUAUCUUCAGUUGAGCUCUGUCAGAAUCUUGAUCCUUUUUGCCUUGUGACUUCUCCAACAGUGCCAGUGGCCCACGUUCAAUUCCCGCUGCUGUCUGUAAGGAGUUUGUACUUUUGUCUGGUUUCUUCCCACAUCCCAAUUACAUACAGGCCCUUCCAGCCCUUCGAACCACGCCGCCCAGCAGCCCCCCGAUUUAAUCACAGGACAAAUUACAAUGACCAGUUAACCUACAAACCAAUACAUCUUUGGACAGUGGAAGGAAACCAGAGCACCAGGAGGAAACCCUUGCAGUCACCGGGAGAACGUACAAAGUACUUACAGGAUUAUGGUUGAUGGAUUGGGUUGAGAUCCUUGGCUGUUGGAGUUACACUCAAUCGGGCAAGUCUGGGAUACUGACCAUGCUUUGGGUGCCAGAAGCAAGACUAUCCUCUGGCAGCGUAAAACUGAUCUACACUGUUCUACAGACGUUCCAUGGCGGAAAGUGUUCUGACUGGUUGCAUCACACAUCUGGUAUGGAGGCACCAAGGCAGAGAAUCGAAAGAGGCUGCAGAGGGCUGUUGACUCAGCCAGCUCAGUCACAGCCACAACCCUCCCCAACAUCAAGGACAUCUUCAAGAGGUGGUACCUCAAGAAAUUGGUAUCAUUCAUUAAGGACCCUCACCAUCUGGGAAAUGCCCUCCUUGCAUUACUACCAUUGCUGAAGAGGUACAGGAGCCUGAAGGCCCACACUCAAAUUUUUAAGAAUAGCUUCUUCCUCUCCACCAUCAGAUUUCUGAAUGGUCCAAAAAUCCAUAAACAUGACCUUGCUAUUUGUUUUUUGCAUUAAAUAUUUAUUUUGUAACUUAUAGCAAUUUUUAUGUCUUGCACGGUCUGCUGCCAAAAAAACGACAAAGUUCAUAAUGUAUAUCAGUGAUAACAAACUUGAUUUUGAUUCUGAUUCUGGUUCCAGAGGUUGUUACACGGAAUAUCCAACAGUACUGCACUGGAACAGGCCUUUUGGCCCACAAUGUUGUGCCAAGCCAAUUAAAUUAGCAAUCAAGUGGCUGCCUAAACUAAUCCCUUCUGCCUACAGAAUAUCCAUAUCCUUCCAUUUACUUCCCACUGAUGUGCCUAUCAUAAAGUCUCUUAAAAGUCCCUAAUGUAUCUGCCUGUACCACUAUCCCAGGCAUUGCAUUCCAGGCACCCACAACUCUCUGUGCAUGAAACUUGCCUCUUAUAUCUCCUUUAAAAUCACCCACUCUUACCUUAAAUGCAUACCCUGGGAAAAAUACAUUGUCUGUCUACUCUGUAUAUCAUUCAUUCGUUAUGGGCCGUGUCAUAUGACGUGGGUGAUCCUGGUCCUUCCAUCACCAUGAUUGUUCUUGGCAAUCUUUCUACAGAAGUGGUUUGCCAUUGCCUUCUUCUGGGCAGUGUCUUCACAAGGUGGGUGACUCCAGCAAUUGUCAAUACCCUUCAGAGAUAGUCUGCCUAGUGUCAGUGGUCGCAUAACCGGGACUUGUGAUAUGCACCAGCUGUUCAUACGAUCAUCCACCGGCUGCUCCCAUGGCUUCAUGUGACCCUGAUUGGGUGCUAAGCAGGUCCUACACCUUGCCCAAGGGUGACCUGCAGGCUAGUGGAGGGAAGGAGCACCUUACACCUUCUUUGGUAGAGACGUAUGUCCACCCCACCACCCAACUCUACCUAUGUCUCUCAUAAUCUAAUCAACAUCUGUCAUAUCUCCCCUCAGACUCCACCACUGCACAGAAAACAAUUAUGCUUGCCCAUUCUCUUGUUAUAGAACCUGCUGUUGUUGUUAAGAUCAGUGACAAGAUUUUAUUGAUUGGAAAGUCAAACAAAUUGGGAUUCUCCUUCCUCAAUGUACAAAGGUGACAAGAGUUCUUUAACAUCAUGAGAAGAGUUUCAUGGGACUGACGUGUGCAAAGUGUGUCCGUUUGAAGGCGAGCCCAGAACAAAAGGCCAUGAGGUGUGUACCGCAUCAGAUUGAUUGCAAGAAUGUGGCGAGUGCGAAUGCAUCCGAUUGUC